rnacentral:rRNA from 1 species
AGGAUGAACGCUGGCGGCGUGCCUAACACAUGCAAGUCGAACGUCCUGUCUCGCAAGAGGCAGGGAGUGGCGGACGGGUGAGUACCACGUGGGUCAUCUACCGUGAGGUGAGGAAUACCGGCGAGAAAUCGCCGACAAGACCGCAUAGGCUCGAUGCAAGUCGAGCAAAGCUCUUUCGAGAGAGGGAGCGCCACACGAGGAGCCUGCGCCCGAUUAGCUAGCUGGUGGAGUAACGGUUCACCAGGGCGACGAUCGGUAGCUGGUCUGAGAGGACGAUCAGCCACACUGGGAUUGAGAACGGCCCAGACUCCUACGGGGGCAGCAGUGAGGAAUUUUCGUCAAUGGGGGCAACCCUGAACGAGCAACGCCGCGUGCAGGAAGAAGGUUUUCGGAUCGUAAACUGCUUUUCUCGGGGAAGAGAAUGGACGGUACCGAGGAAUCAGCCCCGGCUAACUACGUGCCAGCAGCCGC